rnacentral:misc_RNA from 1 species
GAUGAAGAACGCAGCGAAAUGCGACAAGUAGUGUGAAUUGCAGAAUUCAGUGAAUCAUCGAAUCUUUGAACGCACAUUGCGCCCGCCAGUAUUCUGGCGGGCAUGCCUGUUCGAGCGUCAUUUCAACCAUCAAGCCCCCGGCUUGUGUUGGGGACCUGCGGCUGCCGCAGGCCCUGAAAAGCAGUGGCGGGCUCGCUGUCACACCGAGCGUAGUAGCAUACAUCUCGCUCUGGGCGUGCUGCGGGUUCCGGCCGUUAAACCACCUUCAUAACCCAAGGUUGACCUCGGAUCAGGUAGGAAGACCCGCUGAACUUAAGCAUAUCAAUAAGCGGAGGA